GUCGCGCCAUUUUGAAUUAGUGUGCCGUAGCCGUAGGUCAAAGUAUCUAAUAAAGUUUGUUGAUUUUGUGAAUCUCUAGAACUUUUACUUCUGAGCCAUAGUUGGAAUUCAGUCAAAGGGUGACUUGAAAAAUCAUGCCACAUGACAAAGAAAAUUGGCAAAUGACAACCUAGAAAGUGCUCUAGCCGCAAUUAAAGAUGGGAUGUCCUAUUCCGAGGCUUCUCAAACAUAUAACAUUCCUUUGGUGACCCUAUGGAGGAAGAUUAAAAAUAAAGACCCGAAAAAGUUUGGGGGACAACCUGUUUAAAGUAAAAGAGAAGAAAAUGCCAUUGUAGCAGCUGUUGUUACGGCAGCAGAAUGGGGCUAUACAAUUAUUAGUUAAAAACUACUUGGAUCGAGCCGGCAAACAGGUGACCAAGUUUUCUAAUAACAUGCCUGGAAAAGAUUGGUGCACGGACUUUCUUACAAGGCAUAAAGAUGUAUUAAAGGUUCGUUUGGCUGAAAAUAUAAAAAGAUCUAGGGCAGGUCUAUCAAGAAAAGAUUUAUAUGAAUAUUUUGAUAAAUUGGAAGUUUCUCUCACCAGACGUACCACCAGAGAAUUUAAUAAACUAUGACGAAACAAAUUUUGUUGAUGAUCCCGGAAGGCCUAAAGUUGUUAUACGAAGAACUAUGAAGCACGCAGAGAAAGUUUGGUCCACCAAGUCUGCUCACUCAGUCAUGUUCUCUGUAACAGCGGCUGGACUUUUGUUACCUCAAUACGUUGUCUACAAAUCUGAAAAUUUGUGGUCCACUUGGACUCAUAGUGGCCCUGAAGGUUGUAUUUACAACCGCAGCAAGUUUGGGUGGUUCGAUCAAAGUUUGUUUGAGGACUGGUUCUUCAACAUCAUUGUUCCUGAUUAUAGACGUCUAGAUGGCCCAAAAGCUAUCAUUGGGGACAAUCUAGCAAGUCAUUUGUCAGAGGCUGUAAUAAAAAAAUGCAAAGAAGAAAAUAUUAGAUUGAUUUUCUUACCAGCAAACAGUACCCAUUUGACACAACCCCUUGAUGUGUCCUGCUUCAGACCAAUAAAGAUUGCCUGACGACAGCAGCUAAAAAAAUGGAAAAUGUCAAAUCUAGGUGUGCUACAGAAAGAUCAUUUUCCCCGAGUUCUGAACAGGACAAUCAAAUCGAUUGUUCUCACAGUUGGUAAAAAUAUCAAAUCUGGAUUUGAGGCUACAGGUUUAUAUCCGCUUAACCGAGAAAAGGUCCUUGUUAAAGUCCCAGACGACAAUGAGAUCUCUUUUUAAGGAAUCCAGAUUUAAAAAACCGCGAUCCAAACAAAUCAACCGUAAGAAAUUGGUAGUGGCGCCCGGAGAAAGCGUUACAGAUCAAAAGAUUUCAAGCUCUUCGGAAUCAGAAAAAGAAACUAUAAUCGAGCCAGAAGAAGAUAUAUUGUAAAAUAAAGGAUCAGAGGAACUUGAAGAUAUUCAGCCGCCCUGCUUUGUAAACCCAGUGCAAGAAAAAAAAAAUUAACUCGGAAAAAGUCGAGAAAGCGCAAUUCGCUCUAGACAACUUGGUAGAAGGGGACUUCAUCUUGGUAGAGUUUACUACACUAAAGAAAAAGCAAAAGAUAUCUGGCAAAAGUAAUGGAAGUAGUCCAAAGAUUUAUACAUUGCUCAUUUCUUAGGCCUUCUGAAAAAAUCAAAGAUGCCUUUGUUUUUCCCCUUAAGCCAGAUAUUAGUGACAUUACUAUGGAGCAGGUGAUCAGGAAGCUAUAUUUUUUAUAUAAAAUAAUGUUUUAUAAUUGGUACAACCAAAGAAAUUAGUUUUAAUUAACUAAUUUUGUUUUGAUACACCCUUUAGAGCGGGUGACUUUCAUUUUAAACGACUUUAAAUUCCAUUUUUCAAGACACCCGUAUUGCGGGUGACUUGAAAUUUUCUGUCUAUUUUUUUUUUUUGAAAACUAAAAGACAUUUGAAAGUUUUUUUCCGAUGUAUAUAUUCCCCAAACUUAUGUGCAAGUUUUCCAUAUUUUUUUGCAAACCAAUUUUUUAUUCUGUGUCUCCUAGAGGGAUGAACAUGUCAAAAUUGUUAUCACCCGCAUUGACGGUAUCUGCUUGGUUCUGGCUUAUAAUCCCAAGCUCUCAAACCUAAGCCUGCAUAGUGCUUCAAAAGGUUUCAUUUCCUUCCUGAUAGAACUUAUUGUCUGUGAUUUUUAAGGUUUCUUCUUUUCCAUGAGGACCUUCAUGACCUGGUACCCAUGCUAGAGUUAGUAUUGGACAUGGCUAUACUGUCUAGGUCAUUCAAAAAAUCUUUUACUCUACAGUCUUCUUUUAUCCUUGAUUGGUGAUUGAGCUGUCUGUGCGCCAAACUAGUUUGGUUUUAUUGGAAGGCCACCCUUCUUGUCCUGCCUGUCUGUAAUUUUUAUAGAAAAGUGUCUGUUAGAUUAAUUUGACCUCUUGAUCUUCCUUUAUUUUCCAGACCACAUCUAUUAUUUGACUCGAAAACAUGGAGCUUACUACCAUUUUACACAGCUAUAAGUUUUAUCAUCAUUUUUGGGCUCAAGUCCCAAUUGCUGCCACAAAGUCUCCUGCAUCUCCCUAAUACUGUUUUUGCCUUGUUGAUGUGUAACCCCUAAAUUUUUAAGAAUAUCUAGAAUAGCAUGCGAAAUCCUUAUUAUAUGCUUUGCCAAAUCCUGAAAUUUAUGUAAGCGAUUGCGUCAUUUGUAAGUUCAUACAUGGCAUUUGUAGUAUUGUAUCAAAGUGUUAAAAAUUAUAUAAUAAAUAUAGUUUUAAAAUA
rnacentral:lncRNA from 1 species